GUAUGUAGCUGUGUUUGUAUGUACGUACGUAGAUUUGUGUUCAAUACUACUGCAGAUUCUGCGGUCGAAAACUUGAAGACAGUGUGCAACUGAGUGCAGCGCUAACAAAUAUGUACUCGAUCGUUGUUGCGGAAACAAUACGUGGAUUAGGAGACUAGACGGAAUUGUUCAAACAAGUUCGUGGCUUGGUGCGAGCAAACCACAUUGUGAUCCAGCAAAUAUUGAAACGAGCUGCCAUCUCUCCAGAUUCCAAGUUCAUGAUCACCUCUCGCGAUUGAUUGCCAUGUAAAUAUCACACAGACUCUAGGGCUUGAUUUCAUAUUGAUUGGGUGAUAGAUAUUCACGACUAAGAAAACUUCUGCUUGGGAUUAUCAUGCAUGCAUUAACCGCGAGCCUUUGUUCUUCAAUGGAUAAUCCUCCCAGUCCAUUUCGAAUUAAAGCGUGCUUCAGCGACAGCCUACACAAUAAUGGAUUUAUUUAAGCUUGGCAAUACAACAUGGUGCCAGCAGCAAUGGAUGAAGAUCAACAAUCUGGGACACCUCAAUUGACACAAGUUGAUCGGGAAGUUCAAGUUUCCAAAAUACUUUCAGUUUUUUGGUACUGCCUUCAAGACGACAAAGAGUGGAUAUGAAAUGUGGCAUUGAGGCUUGUCUGAACCGUAAACAAAGGUAUAGCAUGCAUGAUUGAACAAAUAGAAUAUCAUUUACGAUAUACAUUCGUCAAAUGGAGAUUUUCGACGAGGUUCGUUCUCUCUUUAAGCGCGGUUAUGACCUCCACUAUCGUGAGAGACGAGCCAAAAUGUAUCAAGCAUUCCCUUUCCCUGAAAUGAUCCAGUCAAUAUUUGGGCCACAUGUACGGUAUAGGUAUAAAGUACGGAUAUACCGGUACCGGACUCACCUUCACUUCGAUGGCCCCUCGGUUCUCAAUGAUGAAUCCACCCACCACGUCCAACAUCAUCUUCGUCUCCAUACUGAUUUGGAUCUUUCCAGCUGUUCACGAGAGACAAAACAAUUGCAUCAAUAGCAGGCAUACUGGAGAUGCAAUUCUAAUCACUUCCAAAGAGCUUUGUUCGAUCUAAUCCCUAUCAUCAUAUGUAUCUAUUGGAAUACAAAUACUACUUGUGGA